GGCGGCGUGCUUAACACAUGCAAGUCGAGCGGAAAGGCCCUUCGGGGUACUCGAGCGGCGAACGGGUGAGUAACACGUGAGUAACCUGCCCCUGACUCUGGGAUAAGCCCGGGAAACUGGGUCUAAUACCGGAUAUGACACGCUCUCGCAUGGGACGCGUGUGGAAAGUUUUUUCGGUUGGGGAUGGGCUCGCGGCCUAUCAGCUUGUUGGUGGGGUAGUGGCCUACCAAGGCGACGACGGGUAGCCGGCCUGAGAGGGCGACCGGCCACACUGGGACUGAGACACGGCCCAGACUCCUACGGGAGGCAGCAGUGGGGAAUAUUGCGCAAUGGGCGGAAGCCUGACGCAGCGACGCCGCGUGGGGGAUGACGGCCUUCGGGUUGUAAACCUCUUUCAGCAGGGACGAAGUUGACGUGUACCUGCAGAAGAAGCGCCGGCUAACUACGUGCCAGCAGCCGCGGUAAUACGUAGGGCGCAAGCGUUGUCCGGAAUUAUUGGGCGUAAAGAGCUCGUAGGUGGCUUGUCGCGUCGGAUGUGAAAGCUUGGGGCUUAACUCCAGGUCUGCACUCGAUACGGGCUGGCUAGAGGUAGGCAGGGGAGAACGGAAUUCCUGGUGUAGCGGUGAAAUGCGCAGAUAUCAGGAGGAACACCGGUGGCGAAGGCGGUUCUCUGGGCCUUACCUGACGCUGAGGAGCGAAAGCGUGGGGAGCGAACAGGAUUAGAUACCCUGGUAGUCCACGCCGUAAACGUUGGGCGCUAGGUGUGGGGGACCUUCCACGGUUUCCGCGCCGUAGCUAACGCAUUAAGCGCCCCGCCUGGGGAGUACGGCCGC
rnacentral:rRNA from 1 species